AAAAGAAGUCAUAUUUAUUUUCCUUCCUUAUCUGCAAAAUACUUGAAGAAAAAAGGGAGAUGUUUUCUGUGUUAUUUGAAACAGCAGAGGUUGUUGUCAGUGGAUAGAUGCUCGUUCACAGCGCAGGAGGUUUUUGUACGGCCACAUAAUGACUUUGUGUCACUGUGGGUCACUUUCGGUGGAGGAACCAAACUCAUCCUUGACUCGGGUGUGGUGCGGCCCACCCUGACCGUCCUCCCCCCCUCCAGUGAAGAGCUGAAGAAGGACAGUGUCACACUGGUGUGUCUGGCCAGCGGGGGCUUCCCCUCAGCCUGGAGCCUGGCCUGGAAGGUGGGGGGCAGCAGCAGCUCCUCAGGGGUGUCACGCAGCCUGGCCCUCCUGGGGAGCGGCGGCCACUACAGCUGGAGCAGCACCCUGAGCCUCCCUGCAGACCAGUGGAGGAAGGCGGGCUCAGUGAGCUGUGAGGCCAGUCUGACUGGACAGAGCCCUGUCACUCAAACCCUGGACCCUGACCGCUGCUCAGAGUAGAGCUCCAUCAACACUUCCUGUGUGAUAUGAUAUUCAUCCUUUGAUAGAAAUCAUGGUGAAGCUACAGAUCUCCUCUUAUCAGAUAUAGUCUGCAGGUUUUUACAACUUUCUUCUGUGUAUUAGUGUCUAUGUUGUUUUCACAAAUCUGAUCAUCUGCAUAUUCUGCUUCAUGUUCUUAUUAGUUUUCAUUCCAUUAAAAACUUUUUAUUCAUUAAAAAUAUGACGCCAACAUUCAAUCAUCAUUCAAUAAAACGUUUUGUUAUAAUAAAUCAAA